rnacentral:snRNA from 1 species
GUACUUGCUUUGGCAGCACAUAUACUAAAGUCGGAAUGAUGCAGAGAAGAUUAGCGUGGCCUCUGCACAAAGAUGUCAUGCAAGUUCAUGAAAGCGUUCCAUAUUUUU